rnacentral:tRNA from 1 species
GGAGCUGUGGUUCAGGGGUAGAACACCUGCUUGGCAUGCAGAAGGCCCCUAGUUCUGUCUCUGUCAUCUCCA